rnacentral:hammerhead_ribozyme from 1 species
AGCCGAAACGCCCGCUUGGGCGUCACCAGGAACCGCCCUACCUGGUCUGAUGAUGGCAGGGCAGA